GACGCCAUUGAGAAGUGCAGUGCGCUCCUGUUCUUCCCCUUCCUGUCCUGCCAUGAGAACAUUGACCCAAACCCCUAUGUGGCCAGCUGUGUCUCCGACUUAUGUGUGGCGGACGAUGUGGACACUUUUUGCCGGGCUCUGGUGGAGUACACCAGGGCCUGCUCACACGUGGGCUACCCUGUGAGAGAGUGGAGAGACAGCUUCCCGCAGUGCUCUGACGGUUGUGAGGACAGCUUCGUGCACAGAGACUGCAUCAGCUGCUGUCCUCCCACCUGCACCUUUGAGAAGGAAUGCCUGGGGAGCAACCUGCACUGCCUGGAUGGCUGCUACUGCCACGAUGG